rfam:Lachnobacterium bovis strain S1b genome assembly, contig: IE07DRAFT_scaffold00010.10
CCCCCUCAAGAUGAGAUAUCCCCUCCUAAAAGGAGAUAAGACCCCUGAGAGACUAACAGGUAAAUAGGGCAGAGGUGGAAGUGCAGUAAUGUAUGUAGCUGACUGUUACUAAUAGGUCGAAGGCUUGACCAA